rnacentral:lncRNA from 1 species
GCAUCUCUUCUUUUGGCCAAAAACCUUCACCAGUUUCUUUUCUCUAAUUACGCUACCUUCACACCCUCUCUCUCUCCAAUCAAUUCAGUCUUGCCAAACUUAUGCUAAUCAUUUAUUGGUGUUUAUUGGUGUUAAUCAUUUAUUCUUCGUUCCAAUUUUCAAUUGCAAUUUUGUAGGGUUCGAACGAAAGCUUGAAGGAAGAUUUAAAAAAGCCAGGGAUAAAGCAUGUGGUCUUCAACGAAGAUGCUAACAACUUUAAGAGAGAUAAAGCUUGAACGAAAAUGGGGGAACAACUCUUAGUUUUGUCUCCUUUCUCCCACUUCCCUUUCUGGUGAGUACAUGUUCUCAAUCAAGAAAGAUUCUGUAAUUGGAUAAGUUUUGGAUCAUUUGGACUCCAAAGAUGCCACCAGAGUAGUUAAUGGACCUAUUGUACAUUAGGGGAGAUGAUGAAAUGCUCAUGGAGGGAUGAGUAACACCUAUUCAAUUGUUGGAAGCAUGCUUGAGCUUUACUGAAACUAAAACAGGAGUAUAAAAGCAAAGAUUAAAGCUAUCCUAAUAAAUUCCAGCUGAUUCAAUAAUAGAAUCACUCUGUAGAAGGCCAGAUCUCAAUGAAACUGUAUGAUGUUCCAUUUGAUGAACGUUUUUUCCUUUUUUUAUCUAUCAAAUGAAUCGUUUAUGAAUUGUGCGACUGUUCUUUUGUUGGUAAUUUCUCAAUUCUUCAGCUAAUAACUUGAGUUCAUUUUUCCUCAUUUGUGAGCCUUUUCACAAAUGGAAGAUAGAUUUUGAAGGAAAAAAAUAUCGAUGCAUCAUCUGUUUCCUACACUCAGAAUUCUAUUUCCAACAACAGUCGUAAAAUGACCAACCUAUUCCACAUGUUGGACUCAACCUUUCCUGACAUUACAAGAAACCGCAGUAAUGCAGAAUCUGCUGUAGAUGGAACUGGCCCGAGCACUAGCUCACCCUCAUCAACGAGAAACAUUGACCAAUGCAAUUCUUCUCAACACAUCCAGUCUUUUGACUCUUGACUUCUGGUUUUGGAGACCCGCUAUUAAAUGAAGUUGAACCAGGAGCACCCGUAUAAAUGUAUACAAGAUACACGUUACAUCCAUGUCGAACAAGUGAUUGGAUGAAGCUACUUCUUGCUGGACGAGGACUCCGAAGAGCUUGAAAACAUCAUCAUCAAAAUAGAUGGCGAGAAUGUAGUUUGCGCAUACAAUGAGGUCGAUGUGAGUCAUUUAUUGGCAUGUGGUUUUCGUAUCAUUGAUACAUCUUAAAUGUGCACACAACAAAGAUUACUUAGCAUGUAGCUUUUAAGGAAAGUAUUUGAACCAACUAGCAAGGUGGGCGGGUCGGGCUGGUGCGGGUCACUGAUUAAAGCUACUUUGGGUCAGAAUGGGUACUUUGGGUCAAAAUGGGUUCGGGCCAAUAUGGGUUAGGAUUAAAAGUUUAGUUCGGGUUAAGACUGGUUCAGAUCAAAAUGAGUUCGGUUCAUUUAAAAAUUUAAUAAUUAAGUUCGGUUCAAUAUGGGUUUGGAGCAAAAUUAGUUAGGUCAAACAGGUAGUUUAAAAGAAAACUUUGAACUUUCGGAACCUCCUGAAAAAAGUUAAGACCGGAAAAUAGGCUGGUUGGGUAAUGGCAAAACGAGUAGUUUUUAGAUAUAGGUUGAAAAAGGUUAGUCAAGUCAGUUGACUCGCCAACAUUUUUUUUUUU